GCGAGGGGCGGGGGGGCAGCCUGCCCCCGCCCUGCGCCUCGCCCGCUGCUGCCGGCACCGGCAAGGGUCGCUCCCCCGGGGCCGCCGCGGAACCCAGGGGAAGACGGAGCUGGGGCGCUCCCUCGCUUACCGCCUUUCCCGCCCCACCGCCGCCCCCCAGCUCAGCCUCCUUCGUAUCUCCGUCGUGGGUGCCCGGAGCUGGGAGUGCGACCCGCACACCGCAGUUAGACCCGCACAAAACUUCAGUCAGCCGUUUCUCUCCCCAGGAGGGGUUGAAAUGUAACGUGGAAGGGAAGACAGAAAGUCUGGGCCAGGGGCCUGAAAGAUUCUGAAGAAGAAAAAAACUUCAUUUGGCUAUUCUUGCACUUAAAUCCAUCAGGCACAAACAUCUCAUGUGUGGACAAGAAAACCACUCGGGAAAUCUGCAGACCUCAUACUUCCAAGAAAAGUUGGCUCCUCAGUUACUCUGUACUCUCAAAUAGUGUACUACAGCAACAAGAGAAGGGCAUGUUCUCCCCAAAGAAACUGCCAGUAUAAGAAGGCCAGGUUUGCAGGGUGGCAAAAGGAGUGAGACCUAUGAGAACUCAGCACAUCUCAGGAUCAGAACUAAACACGCCUUCCUGCCUCACACUUCCCAAUUGCCAGAAAUAAUUCUCCUCCUGCUACCCUACUUAUAUACUCUUAGACCAUCCACAAGAACCCCUCUACAGAUCUAAAUGCCACAGGAGAAGAAUGGAACAAAGGCAAUGCAAAUGCCAGACUGUCCUGUGUGACUGCUUGUGCUGUGGUUAGAUGCUGUGCUGAGAUUUCAUCUUUCCUACAAAGAAUCAUUAAAAAUGGUAAUACAAAACAAGAAUACAAACACUGUGGCAGAUUUUUA